UGCCAGCCGCCGCGGUAAUACGGAGGGUGCAAACGUUGCUCGGAUUUACUGGGCGUAAAGCGCGUGUAGGCGGACUCGCAAGUCGGUUGUGAAAUCCCUGGGCUCAACCUAGGAACUGCAUCCGAAACUGCUUGUCUUGAGUAAUGGAGAGGGUGGCGGAAUUCCCGGUGUAGAGGUGAAAUUCGUAGAUAUCGGGAGGAACAUCAGUGGCGAAGGCAGAUGGCUGGGCCGAUUCUGACGCUCAUGCACGAAAGCGUGGGGAGCGAACGGGAUUAGAUA
rnacentral:rRNA from 1 species